AUUGAACGCUGGCGGCAUGCCUUACACAUGCAAGUCGAACGGCAGCACGGGAGCAAUCCUGGUGGCGAGUGGCGAACGGGUGAGUAAUAUAUCGGAACGUGCCCAGUCGUGGGGGAUAACGUAGCGAAAGCUACGCUAAUACCGCAUACGAUCUAUGGAUGAAAGCGGGGGAUCGCAAGACCUCGCGCGAUUGGAGCGGCCGAUAUCAGAUUAGGUAGUUGGUGAGGUAAAGGCUCACCAAGCCGACGAUCUGUAGCUGGGUCUGAGAGGACGACCAGCCACACUGGGACUGAGACACGGCCCAGACUCCUACGGGAGGCAGCAGUGGGGAAUUUUGGACAAUGGGCGCAAGCCUGAUCCAGCAAUGCCGCGUGCAGGAUGAAGGCCUUCGGGUUGUAAACUGCUUUUGUACGGAACGAAACGGUGAGCUCUAAUACAGUUUGCUAAUGACGGUACCGUAAGAAUAAGCACCGGCUAACUCCGUG
rnacentral:rRNA from 1 species